CCUACGGGUGGCAGCAGUGAGGAAUAUUGGUCAAUGGGCGGGAGCCUGAACCAGCCAAGUCGCGUGAAGGAAGAAGGUACUUAGUAUUGUAAACUUCUUUUGUCAGGGAACAAAGGCGGAGACGCGUCCCCGGAUGAGUGUACCCGAAGAAAAAGCAUCGGCUAACUCCGUGCCAGCAGCCGCGGUAAUACGUAGGGGGCAAGCGUUAUCCGGAUUUACUGGGGGUAAAGGGGGCGCAGACGGCAGCGCAAGCCAGGAGUGAAAGCCCGGGGCCCAACCCCGGGACGGCUCUUGGAACUGGGCGGCUGGAGUGCAGGAGGAGCAGGCGGAAUUCCUGGUGUAGCGGUGAAAUGCGUAGAUAUCAGGAGGAACACCGGUGGCGAAGGCGGCCUGCUGGACUGCGACUGACGUUGAGGCCCGAAAGCGUGGGGAGCGAACAGGAUUAGAUACCCUUGUAGUC
rnacentral:rRNA from 1 species